GACGUAGGGGGCGAGCGUUGUCCGGAAUUACUGGGCGUAAAGAGCACGUAGGCGGGAUUUUAAGUCAGGUGUGAAAGACCGUGGCUCAACCACGGGGUUGCACUUGAAACUGGGAUUCUUGAGGGCAGGAGAGGAAAGUGGAAUUCCUGGUAUAGCGGUGAAAUGCGUAGAUAUCAGGAGGAAUACCGAAGGCGAAGGCAGUCUUCCAAGCCGUUAUUGACGCUCAACUGCGAAGGUGUGGGUAUCAAACAGGAUUAGAUACCCUGGUAGUCCCUGAG
rnacentral:rRNA from 1 species